GUAUCAUGGCUCAGGACGAACGCUGGCGGCGCGCCUAACACAUGCAAGUCGAACGAGAGAUGGAAGAGCUUGCUCUUCAAAUCGAGUGGCGAACGGGUGAGUAACGCGUGAGGAACCUGCCGUACAAAGGAGGGGGACAACAGUUGGGAAACGACUGCUAAAUACCGCAUAACGCCCACAGCUCGGCAUACGAGGCAGGAGGGAAAAGNGUGAUCCGCUUUGAGCUGGCCUCGGCGUCCGA
rnacentral:rRNA from 1 species